GACAGAGGUUACAAACGUUGUUCGGAAUCACUGGGCAUAAAGCGCACGUAGGCGGUCUGUUAAGUCAGGUGUGAAAGCCCCCGGCUCAACCGGGGAACAGCAUUUGAUACUGGCAGACUCGAGGAUGGUAGGGGUGAGUGGAACUCCAGGUGGAGCGGUGAAAUGCGUAGAUAUCUGGAGGAACACCGGUGGCGAAAGCGGCUCACUGGACCAUAACUGACGCUGAGGUGCGAAAGCUAGGGUAGCAAACGGG
rnacentral:rRNA from 1 species